GUGAACGAUCAAGGGCGCGCGGUGGAUGCCUAGGCUCUCGGAGGCGAUGAAGGACGCGAUAAGCCGCGAUAGGCCACGGCGAGGUGCAAGUAACCCUUGACCCGUGGAUUUCCGAAUGGGGCAACCCGGCCGUCUAGAUGACGGUCAUCCAGCAAUGGAGGCGAACGCGGGGAACUGAAACAUCUCAUUACCCGCAGGAGAAGAAAACAACAGUGAUUCCCCCAGUAGUGGCGAGCGAACGGGGAAGAGCCCAAACCGGUGCCGUUUCGGCGACACCGGGGUCAUGGGACCGCGCCAUUCGACGAUGGACGAAGUGCAAUUACCUGGAAAGGUAAGCCGCGGAGGGUGAUAGCCCCGUGCACGACAGCCCCAUCGAAGAUAGCGGGAUCCCGAGUAGGGCGGGACACGAGAAAUCCUGCCUGAAUUCGCCAGGACCCCCUGGCAAGGCUAAAUACUCCCGAGAGACCGAUAGUGAACCAGUACCGCGAGGGAAAGGUGAAAAGAACCCCGAGCAGGGGAGUGAAAUAGACCCUGAACCCGCGCGCCUACAAGCGGUCGGAGCCAUGAAAUAUGGUGACGGCGUGCCUUUUGCAUAAUGAGCCUACGAGUUAGUCGUCACCAGCGAGGUUAAGGGCUUCAGGCCCGUUAGCCGAAGUGAAAGCGAGCCUUAACAGGGCGCCGAGUUGGUGGCGCUAGACGCGAAACCUUGUGAUCUACCCACGAGCAGGUUGAAGUCGCGGUAACACGUGAUGGAGGACCGAACCGGUAAACGUUGAAAAGUUUUCGGAUGACUCGCGGGUAGGGGUGAAAGGCCAAUCAAACUGGGAAAUAGCUCGUACUCCCCGAAAUGCAUUUCGGUGCAGCCUGUGAUGUUCUGUUCCAGAGGUAGAGCUACUGGUUGGACGCGAGGGCUUCACCGCCUAUCAAAUCCGGAUAAACUCCGAAUGCUGGAACACGAAAUCAUGGAGUGAGCCCGCGGGUGCUAAGGUCCGCGGACGAGAGGGAAAGAACCCGGACCACCGGCUAAGGUCCCGGAUGGACAGUUAAGUUGAUCAAACGAGGUGGGAUCGCGGAGACAGCUAGGAUGUUGGCUUGGAAGCAGCCAUUCAUUUAAAGAGUGCGUAACAGCUCACUAGUCGAGCGAUCCCGCGUGGAUAAUACACGGGCAUCAAACUGUCAACCGAAGCCGUGGGGUCAGUGUUGAACUGACCGGUAGGAGAGCAUUCCUGCCAGCUUGGAAGGUCACCCGCGAGAGUGACUGGAGCGGCAUGAAAAGCAAAUGUAGGCAUAAGUAACGAUAAUGGGGGCGAGAACCCCCCACGCCGCAAGACCAAGGAUUCCCCGGCAAUGUCAAUCAGCCGGGGGUCAGCCGGCCUCUAAGGCUAACCCGAAGGGGGACGCCGACGAGAAACGGGUUAACAUUCCCGUGCUUCUCGUCACCGUGACGCGGUGACGGGGUGAUGAAUGGACCGCGCGCUGACGGAAUAGCGCGUUGAAGACCGUACCCUUUGACGGUGGUAGUCAAGCACGCCACCGGAGGCGAAAGUCGAUAGUACCUCGAGGCCUCGGCCGAGGGGAUAGCGUCCAGGCAAUUUACCCCCGAGAAAACCCGCUAAACUUCAAGUGACGAGGAACCGUACUGUAAACGGACACACGUGGUCGGGUAGAACAUACCAAGGCGCUCGAGUGAUUCAUGGUCAAGGAACUAGGCAAAAUAGUCCUGUAACCUCGGGAAAAAGGACGCUCUAGUGAUAGAGCCGCAGAGUAAUGGCCCAGGCGACUGUUUACCAAAAACACAUGGCUAUGCCAAAUCGAAAGAUGACGUAUAUGGCCUGACACCUGCCCGGUGCCGGAAGGUUAAGAGGAGAGCUCAGGGGUGACCCGAAGGUUCAAAUUGAAGCCCCGGUAAACGGCGGCCGUAACUAUAACGGUCCUAAGGUAGCGAAAUUCCUUGUCGGGUAAGUUCCGA
rnacentral:rRNA from 1 species